GUUCAGGGAGGAGUUUAGGGAGGGUAUCGGACAGUCAGAGGAGAGCCUAAAGUAGCACAAAGGCGGUAGCCACACUCAUCAUGGCGGCCAAAGGGCGACCGAGCGGAGGGGGGCGGAGCCACUCCUGGCGGUUGGGGCACGUUGCCGUCUCCGUCGUCGCAUUUAUUGGUUUGUUUGAGAAGGAAUCAGAAAGGCAAUGGGUGGAAGUGGACGUCGGUCAAAGUUAGUCCCGCCUCCAGACUCUCAACGCGCUUCUCAGCGCCGGGACUCCUUCAAGAUCGCCAGUGCCUUCCUUGCUCGGUUUGCCCUUUUCUCCGGGGUGACGUCACGGCGUAGCCGUCACAGCCUCGAGACGUGCGAACGGGUCCGCAGGGUGUGGAGAAGGUGGAGGGUGCAGUUGGGUGAGGUAGCCUUGGGGUGUGGACUCCUGCCUGCUGGGCUGAAAGGCCUUGAGCUACGGGACGCAAUGGAACUGGGAAGCUUACCGUUUGACGACGCUUGUUCCAAGGCGGAAGUGCUCGCUGCAGCCUCUGUCGCCGCCCUCUCUGUAGCCUUGUUGGGCUGGGUGGGGAGUUCCUGCCCAUUCUCAACUUUGGGUCCAGAGCUCAAAUGACCACCCAUCUUGGGAGCCUCGAAGAGUUGGGCUUUUUUCCCCCUGCCGCGGCUUGGGCCAUUAAGCAAGUGAAAUUCGGCCCAUGCGGUUUGGCGUCGUUUCAAGGGCCUUGACUUUUGUGUCACCUCUCUGAAUUUGAGUUUUCUCUGGUUGACCACGUAGGUCCACUGGGGAAGUUCUUGAGGUGAAAACUGAUCGCGCUCGGCAAAAUGAAAAAGGUUCAGCAUGUUUGGGGCUGGGUGCGAAACCGUUCCCUCUUGGACAUAUUUCAGACCCAAUAGUAGUCGUUAAGGAAGAGACCUUCACCCAGGCCCUGCCAGGCCCUGGAAGCCCGUGCUGAGCUCUGCGGGAGGAGGGCCGCCGACCCCGAAAGUAGUCAACUAGGGGUUGCGGAAAUGGAGCUGUUAGGUUUACACCUGGUUGGUGGGACUGGAGGACGUUUCAUGAAGGAGGUAGCAUUCGUACCGGACCUCGUAAAGGUAACGUGAUUCCAACAGGUGGGAGUUGAGAACCUAGACUAUUCUGGUUACAGACGAGGGGCCAUUUCCCAAGUUUGAAAGAACCCAGGCCUUGCUGUAGAAACUGGUUUCUGCCAUUACUACUGACACCUUUCCUGCCGUGUGUUGCCUUUCUUUUUGCAGGGAGAAGAGGGAUGAUGAUUAAAUACAUCAGAUAAGAGCUAAACCUGAUGGGAAAGAUUAGAGAGAUCAAGGGCCUCCUUGGACUCUUCCCCUGGACCCUCUGCAUCCAGCCGGCUGGUUAGCUAAGAGAGAGAAAACCACGAAGGGUAGUGAACGCUGGAAAUGGUGUCAGUUAUUUCUUCCCACGUCGUGUUGGUCUGACCCAGUUGUCCGGCCCCAACCUGAGUCAAGCAAACUGGGACAUGGCUUCCUAUGUGCUCAGGAGGAAGAAAUGGGAAUGAUGAGCAUCUGGCCAAUCUCUGCUGCAACUGCUAAUUUUGGUGGCCUCCAGGCCAGAGCUACUGACUUGCUGAGGAAGAGAUGUAGGAGGAUUAUACUCUUGUACACAUUGGAUUUUAUAAAUCCAAAUAUUACCUCUUCAAAUAAAUUAAAAAAGAGGAGACUGGUGGAAUUAUGGGUCAUCCAUACCAUGAAAGAGUGAAGUACAUCUGUACAUACUGGAAUGGAAUGAUCUUCAGUGAAGAUGGGCAACAUUUAAAAGCCAGAGAAUACCAAGUGCUGGCCGAAAUAAAGAGCCGCCGAAACUCUCAGACCUUGCUAGGUGGAAUGUCACCGGAUGCAACCUCUUUGCAAAGCAGGCAUGUGGACAGAAGAAGCAGACGAGGGAAAGGAAGCAGGGCAGGCAGGCUCCAGGGUUCUCAUUUCCCCGUCUAUCUCCCCAAUCCAUCUAGAUCUUGACCAGGGGAAGCUACAGAAGACAGAUACAGAGAAUACAAAGAACCCAAGAGCAUCAGAGGCUUGUGGACCACUUCCCCAGGCCACUGCCAUGAUAAUGUGCUUAUUUGUGAGGACACUGCCUGUUAUGGACUGCCAGGGUCCCAUUUCACCACAGCAAGGAGGUUAUCCAUGCCUUCCUCAUAUACAUGAGCAGCUCAAUUCUGGAACCCUAUUUUUUUUUCAACAAUUCUAUACAUUACUGCUCACCACACUAAGUAGGGUUACCAUCUGUCACCAUACAGUAUUAUUACGGUAUUAUUGACUGUACUCCCCAUGCUGUACUUUUUGUCUCCAUGACUUAUUUGUUUUAUAACUGGAAUUUUGUGCCUCUUAAUACCUUUAAUACCUUAAUGCCUUUCAUCUGUUUCAUCCGUCCUCCCCACCCACCUCCCCUCUGGCAACCACCAGUUUGUUCUCUGCAUUUAUGAGCUUUUUCUGUUUUUUGGUUUGUUUAUUAUUUGCUUGUUUGUAUGUUUUGCUUUUUAAAUUCCACGCGUAAGUGAAAUCUUACCAUAUUUGUCUUUGUCUGUCUGACUUAUCUCACUUAGCGUAGUACCCUCUAGGUCCAUCCAUGUUGUCACAAAUAGUAAGAUCUCAUUCUUUUUUUUAAGUCUGAGUAAUAGUCCAUGGUUAUAUACCACAUGUUCUUCUUUUUUUAAUGUUUAUUUUUUAUUUUUUUAAACAUUUAUUUAUUAUUGAGAGACAGAGAGAGACAGAUCGUGAGCAGGGGAGGGGCAGAGAGAGAGGGAGACACAGAAUCCCAAGCAGGCUCCGGGCUCUGAGCUCGGCACAGAGCCCGACGCCGGGCUCGAACUCACAUAGCGUGAGAUUAUGACCUGAGCCAAAGUCCGACGCUCAACCGACUGAGCCACCCAGGUGCCCCUAUACCAAAUGUUCUUUAUCCACGGAAUCAUUUUUCCCCCCAUGGAAUCUUAUUUCAAAGCCACUUCUAAUACCAAUGAUUGUACUAGUCAGGUCCCAAAAGGAAGUAAGUGGCACACUCAAAAUGGAUAACUUGAGGAGAGUUUGAUAAAGGAGGUUUUUGCAGAGUCAUGGUCAGGGAAUAGGGAAUCCAAAAAGAAUGUGCAGUAGUCCAGGAUUGGCAACCUUGGGGAGCAAAACAGCCCUAGGCCAUGAAGGAGCAAGGAGACAGGGGACUACUGGGACCAGAGAAGGUAAGUGAAGGAGAAAGCUACCUGAAAGUAGCUAUAGCCUUUGAUAGAAAGGAAGUUAGCCCUCAGCAAGCUCUCAAGAAGGGAGGCAAGCAAAUAAAUACUCCGACUUCCAUCUCUUCCUACUCUCUGAUCUCCUGCUGGUGCCUCCCAUUGGCCAACAGAAAACCAGUGGGCAAAGGGAGCCUACUGAUGUCAUCCUUGAAGGUCAAUACUCUGAGGCACAGAGCCUGGUGGAGAACAAGGGGAGGAGAAGGGGAGGAGGAGACCUAUCUAUGUAGCACACAACCCAAACAAGUUAAACGGGGAAUUUACUGGUUCUUGCAAAGUCAAGCUGUAAGGCUUGAAGCAAGGGCUCAAAUGAAGUCAUCAGUGUCUGGUUUUUCCUCCAUGCACAGGUUUCAUAUACAGGCAGGCUCUCCCAUCAUGCUCCAAAAUGGCUCCAGAAUGCACAGCCUUUUUCAUUCAAAUGUAGUGGAAUCUAUCAAAGGAUUCAUUGGGUCUCGUUGACUCUCAUUGGGUCACAUGAAAUGCCUGAACCAACCGCAGUGCUUGGCAUCAAAGGGAAGUGCUGCUUGGCUUAGAUCUCCGGAGCUAGGACUGGGUGAAAUCAUGGCAUGGAACCUGGAUGACUAGGGAAAAGUUGUUAUUGAAUAGCCAAAAUGCUACAUACCCUGUAUCUUCUUUUAAUGGUUGAAGCAGAACUUUUCCAUUUUUUUGUAUGUGUGGAUCAUCUGGAGAUCCUGUUAAAAAGUGCGGAAUCUGAUGAAGUAGGUCUGGGGUGGGGCAAAUUAAUUUCAUCUGUUUCUUUUUACUUUUUUAACGUGGUUACUAGAGAAUUAAAAAAUACAUGGUUUCUGUUGGAUAGUGCUACCCUAGAAGGAGGUAAUGAAGCGGAUGAAGGUGUUGAUCUUGAAACACAUUCAUUUUCGCUUAUGAAUACUCAAUCAGAAGAACCAAAUAUAGCAGAGACCACAUGAGACUUACCUCAUGGGUCCUUGGACUUGGUCCACCCUCAGGACCUCAGGGUUAUGUGGUUGCAGGUUGAAGUAAUGCAUGAGUGCUUAGGAUAGAGGACACUGGAACGAGCCUGGUACGGUUUGAUCUGAGGAAAGAGGAAAUGCUGGGGAUCCCAGAGUUGCUCCCCCCAACCAGCAGUCACUUCAUUUCCCAUUUUUGUUUACGCAGUUGUCUGAAUUACAGGAAUUACAACUGUGCUUAUCAACUUCCCUGAUCUGUCCUGCACACAUCCACUCAACUGGUCUCUGCACUCCCUUUUAGCCCUUUCCUGCCCAGACAUAUGCACCCAGCUGCAGUCUGCUUUCUAGGAACUCCCUACUGAACCCAGAAUGUCUUGUCCUACCAGUCCACAGGCCCCCAAAUGUGUCUCUCACUUUCCCCAUCUAAGUUAUUCCCUUACUGCUUGAAGCUCUGUCUCCACCAGCUCCACCUUUCAAAGCCCACAUCAAGGUUAUCUUCCUCCAGAGAGGCCUUUUCAAGACCUGGCCCACAGAAGCCUGCCUUCAGAACUUGUAGGACAUGCUGUCUUUGGCCAGCGUAUCUGCUAUAGAGGGCUGUGUUGUCUAACUCUUAAGUUAUUAGGGUUUUCCUGCAUUUGUGCCUUGAUUCUCUGGGCUGUAAGUUCCUUGAGGACAGAGCCCUGUUUAGUUUAUAUUUGAAUUCUCCUUUUGACCAGGGCCUGUAUAAUAAAUAGAUCCUCAAAAAAUAUAAUUUGGCUCAUUUUCCCAAUACAAAACAAAAUGCUAGUUGAAAAUACAUAGACUUUUAUAUGAAAUAUAUGCAUAAACAUAUAUUUUCAGUGAUCAUUUUUGUAAUGAAGAGUAUUCUUUUUUAAAAACAAGAUAGUAGAUAAAGGCUGCGGGGAUGUGGAGAAAAGGGGCCCCUUGCGCACUGUUGGUGAGAGUGCAGAGUGCAAAUUUCCAAUAAGCCAGUUGGAAAGCAAUUCCACUUCUGGGUAUAUGUCCAAAGGAAAUGAAAACACUGUGUCAAAGAGGUAUCCGCACCUUCAUGUUCAUAGCCUUAUUUAUAAUGACCAAGGCCUAGAAACAACCUAGGUGCCCACUGAUGUGUGAAUGGAUAAAGAAGUUGUGGUAUCUAUAUACACAAUGAAACAUUUAGCAAUAAAUCCUGCCAUUUGAGACAACACAGAUGAUCCUAGAGGGGAUUAUGCUAAAUGAAAAUAAGUAAGGCAGAGAAAGACAAAUACUGCAUGAUCUCACUUACAUAUGGAAUCAAAACGAAGAACCAAGCUCAUAGAGAUCAGAUUUGUGGCAACCACAGGUGGGAGGUGGGGAGGGGGAGGGUUGAACUGGAUGAAGGUGGUCAAAAGGUAGAGACUUCCAGUUAUAAAAUAAAUAAGCACGGGGGAUAUAAUGUAGAACACAAUGACUAAUGACUAUGGUUAACACUGCUGUAUAGUAUAUUGAAACUUGUUAAAAAGAGUGGAUUUUAAGAGCUCUCUUCAUAAGUAAAAAGGUCUUUUUUUAAAUCCAUAUGGGAUGAUGAAUGUUAACUCACUGUGGUGAUCAUUUGCAUUGUAUGUAAGGAAAGUCAUUAUGCUGUAUACCUUAAACUUACAUAGUGUUAUAUGUGAAUUACAUUUCAGUCAGACUGGGGGAAUAAGCAAGAUGGAAAAUUAACUUUAAUCAUUGCAUAAACUUUUUUUUACUUCAUUUUUAUGUUAAUUUUUUUCAAUGCUUAAUUUAUUUUGAGAGAGAGAGCACACGUGCACACACGUGCACAGGGAGCAGCAGAAAGAGGGGGAGAGGGAGAAUCCCAAGCAGGCUCUGUGCUGUCAGCAUGGAGCCCAACUUGGGGCUCCAUCUCAUGAACUGUGAAAUCAUGACCUGAGCCAAAAUCAAGAGUCAGAUGCUUAACUGACUUGAGCCACCCAGGUGCCCCAAUUUUUUAUGUUAAAUUUUUAAAAAACUGUUUUAUCUUGGGAUAAUUAUAGAUUCACAGGAAGUUGUAAGAGUAGUACAGAGUGUUUUUUGGGCCUUCUCUACAAUUUCCCCCAAUGGAUAUAUCUUAGGGAAUUGAGAUACAAUAUCAAACCAAGAACUUGACAUUGGUACAGCUUGUGUGUAUAGUUCUUUGCCACUUUAUCACAUGUAUAGAUCUGUGUAAACAGCACUGCAAUCAGGAUACAAAACUCUUACCUUUAAGAUCUCCCUUGGCUCCCUCUUUAUAGACUACCCAUUCCCCUUCCGCCAGCAGCCCUAACACCUGACUAAUCUAAUCUAUUCUCCACUGGUCAUUGUAAGUAGACGUUCGUCUUGACUUAUUUUUGAUGCAUAGAGAGUGUUUCUUUGUAUAGAUAUUUAGUAGGUACUCGGUAUAGUAUUGUAUGUACAUAAUUUAUCUCAGUUCUCCUUGUGUUCACAUUACUGGUUUCAGUGAGGUGUCAAAACUUUCUUCCCUUCAGGUCCCUUUACCUGCCCCUGUUUGUAAUCGUCUUAAAUAUUUCCUCUGCAUUAAUUGAGAACCAUAUCAGACAAUGCAUGAGUGUGUGGGAGAGGGAACCCUAGACUGGGCCAGGUGAGCUUUGUUCUUCUGAGGAAAGAGGAAAUUGUAGGAGCCACAGAAUCCCUCCUCCUGGCCAGCAGUCACUCCAUUUCUCCUUUCCAUUGUGCAGUUGCUUGAAGGAGAAAUUAUCACCAUACUUAUCAACUCCCCUA